GUCUACGGCCAUGCUAUCCUGAACAAGUCGGAUCCCGUCUGGUCUCGGAAGCUAAGCAGGGUUGGGCCUGGUUAGUACUUGGAUGGGAGACCAUCUAGGAAGACCAGAUGCUGUAGGCA
rnacentral:rRNA from 1 species